rnacentral:rRNA from 1 species
AGAGUUUGAUCAUGGCUCAGGACGAACGCUGGCGGUGUGCCUCACACAUGCAAGUCGAACGAGGUAGCAGCAAUGUUACUUAGUGGCGGACGGGUGAGUAACACGUGGGAAUCUGCCUUUUAGAGGGGGAUAGCAUGCCGAAAGGCGUAUUAAUACCCCAUAAGCCGAAAGGUGAAAGGUUUAUCUGUAAGAGGGUAAGC